AUAUUUUAUGAAUAUAGUUUUCAAAAAAAAAAUCUGUUCUUAUCAGUUUAAUAUCUGAUACGUCCCUUAUCUGGGGACCAUAUAUUAAAUUGAUUUUUGGAGCAGGGAGAUGGAAUACGUCACAUCAACAAUUUCCAGUUCCAAUCCCUCUCCACCUCCACCCCCACCAGGAUGGUCUGAGGGCCCUUAGC